rnacentral:rRNA from 1 species
GACGAACGCUGGCGGCGUGCUUAACACAUGCCAGUCGAACGGAAAGGCCCCUUUGGGGGUACUCGAGUGGCGAACGGGUGAGUAACACGUGAGUAACCUGCCCUUGACUUCGGGAUAACUUCAGGAAACUGGGGCUAAUACCGGAUAGGAAUCCUUGCUGCAUGGUGGGGGUUGGAAAGCUUCGGCGGUUUUGGAUGGACUCGCGGCUUAUCAGCUUGUUGGUGGGGUAGUGGCUUACCAAGGCUUUGACGGGUAGCCGGCCUGAGAGGGCGACCGGCCACAUUGGGACUGAGAGACGGCCCAGACUCCUACGGGAGGCAGCAGUGGGGAAUAUUGCACAAGGGGCGGAAGCCUGAUGCAGCAACGCCGCGUGCGGGAUGACGGCCUUCGGGUUGUAAACCGCUUUCAGCAGGGGCGAAGCUUGUGGUGACGGUACCUGCAGAAGAAGCACCGGCUAACUACGUG